GGUAUCAGAAGUGCGAAUGCUGACAUAAGUAACGAUAAAGCGGGUGAAAAGCCCGCUCGCCGGAAGACCAAGGGUUCCUGUCCAACGUUAAUCGGGGCAGGGUGAGUCGACCCCUAAGGCGAGGCCGAAAGGCGUAGUCGAUGGGAAACGGGUUAAUAUUCCCGUACUUGGUGUUACUGCGAAGGGGGGACGGAGAAGGCUAUGUUGGCCGGGCGACGGUUGUCCCGGUUUAAGCGUGUAGGUGUGUGUUCCAGGUAAAUCCGGUUCACUUUAACACUGAGGCGUGACGACGAGGCACUACGGUGCUGAAGCAACAAAUGCCCUGCUUCCAGGAAAAGCCUCUAAGCAUCAGGUAACAUCAAAUCGUACCCCAAACCGACACAGGUGGUCAGGUAGAGAAUACCAAGGCGCUUGAGAGAACUCGGGUGAAGGAACUAGGCAAAAUGGUGCCGUAACUUCGGGAGAAGGCACGCUGACACGUAGGUGAAGUGAUUUACUCAUGGAGCUGAAGUCAGUCGAAGAUACCAGCUGGCUGCAACUGUUUAUUAAAAACACAGCACUGUGCAAACACGAAAGUGGACGUAUACGGUGUGACGCCUGCCCGGUGCCGGAAGGUUAAUUGAUGGGGUCAGCGCAAGCGAAGCUCCUGAUCGAAGCCCCGGUAAACGGCGGCCGUAACUAUAACGGUCCUAAGGUAGCGAAAUUCCUUGUCGGGUAAGUUCCGACCUGCACGAAUGGCGUAAUGAUGGCCAGGCUGUCUCCACCCGAGACUCAGUGAAAUUGAACUCGCUGUGAAGAUGCAGUGUACCCGCGGCAAGACGGAAAGACCCCGUGAACCUUUACUAUAGCUUGACACUGAACAUUGAGCCUUGAUGUGUAGGAUAGGUGGGAGGCUUUGAAGCGUGGACGCCAGUCUGCGUGGAGCCGACCUUGAAAUACCACCCUUUAAUGUUUGAUGUUCUAACGUGGACCCGUUACCCGGGUUGCGGACAGUGUCUGGUGGGUAGUUUGACUGGGGCGGUCUCCUCCUAAAGAGUAACGGAGGAGCACGAAGGUUGGCUAAUCCUGGUCGGACAUCAGGAGGUUAGUGCAAUGGCAUAAGCCAGCUUGACUGCGAGCGUGACGGCGCGAGCAGGUGCGAAAGCAGGUCAUAGUGAUCCGGUGGUUCUGAAUGGAAGGGCCAUCGCUCAACGGAUAAAAGGUACUCCGGGGAUAACAGGCUGAUACCGCCCAAGAGUUCAUAUCGACGGCGGUGUUUGGCACCUCGAUGUCGGCUCAUCACAUCCUGGGGCUGAAGUAGGUCCCAAGGGUAUGGCUGUUCGCCAUUUAAAGUGGUACGCGAGCUGGGUUUAGAACGUCGUGAGACAGUUCGGUCCCUAUCUGCCGUGGGCGCUGGAGAACUGAGGGGGGCUGCUCCUAGUACGAGAGGACCGGAGUGGACGCAUCACUGGUGUUCGGGUUGUCAUGCCAAUGGCACUGCCCGGUAGCUAAAUGCGGAAGAGAUAAGUGCUGAAAGCAUCUAAGCACGAAACUUGCCCCGAGAUGAGUUCU
rnacentral:rRNA from 2 species